rnacentral:rRNA from 1 species
GUGGGGAAUAUUGGACAAUGGGCGAAAGCCUGAUCCAGCCAUGCCGCGUGUGUGAAGAAGGUCUUCGGAUUGUAAAGCACUUUAAGUUGGGAGGAAGGGCAGUAAGUUAAUACCUUGCUGUUUUGACGUUACCGACAGAAUAAGCACCGGCUAACUUCGUGCCAGCAGCCGCGGUAAUACGAAGGGUGCAAGCGUUAAUCGGAAUUACUGGGCGUAAAGCGCGCGUAGGUGGUUUUGUAAGUUGGAGGUGAAAUCCCCGGGCUCAAACUGGGAACUGCCUCCAAAACUACUGAGCUAGAGUACGGUAGAGGGUAGUGGAAUUUCCUGUGUAGCGGUGAAAUGCGUAGAUAUAGGAAGGAACACCAGUGGCGAAGGCGACUACCUGGACUGAUACUGACACUGAGGUGCGAAAGCGUGGGGAGCAAACAGGAUUAGAAACCCUGGUAGUCC